ACAAGAAUAAUCUGGAAUGUCACUGUUCAAGUUAAAGAUACUCAAGGGAGUAAAAGGCUUACACUUCAUGAAUUCUUAUAAGUAGUCUCCCAUGUUUUGACUCUUCCCAGGAAUUCUUCAUAAGUGGUUAAAUAUCUGUACCACAGAUCUAUGAGGCAAUGAAUGAGGUGUGCUAUGUCACAGAGUUCAUCCUGAAAACAGCUUUUUUAAGGCCAAAAUUUAUAGCAGUUCACAGCACAGCCUAAGAUGAGUUGAAGCAUCCUUCCGAGCUCUGCAGCGUCAGAAUGUUCCCCAAUGAGGUUCACAUCA